GGAGCAGACAGCAUGACAAAAUUGAUUAUGCUACUGAUUUAAAGAAAACUAUCCUUAACAGUCUAGUACAUGAGUACAUCAAAGCGUAUCUAUAAUUAUCUUGAAGGCACAUAUUGCUAUGGGUAUUGGGACAUCUGAGCUUUCUGUUGUUUCAGGAGUUUGUCCUUGCAGGCAGUACCAAGCUGCCUCCUUAGCUGUGACCAUCUUAGGACCAUGGGUUGUGACUGGCAAGGAAGGUACCUUAUUAGUCUCAAGACAGAGAAGAUUUUUCAAUGGUGUCACUCUGACUCUCCUCAGCUCCUGCUUCCCUAAUGAUGGCAGCUCCUCUUUUUACUGUCCCCAUAAUUUUUCCUCUUCGGGAAUGUCACAGGGUUGGAGUCAUAGGGUGUGUAGCCUUUCCAGAUUGGCCUUUCACUUUGUGAUCUGCAUUUCAGGUUUCUCUAUGUCUUUUCAUGGAUGGAAAGCUCACUCAUUUUUAGCACUGAAUAGUAUUCCAUGGUCUGCAUGGACGUGCCACAGUUCAUUUCUCCAAUCAUCUGCCAAAGGACAUCUCGGCUGCUUCCAAGUCGUGGUGAUUGUAAAUGACGCUGCUAUCAUCAUCCAAUGCAUUUUAAGUCUUCCCUCCACUUUAGCCAUUCUGCGAAUUCCACUUCACGCUGACAUCACAAAGACAGGACCCCUGAGGGACGGAUGAGAGGAAAUCAAGGAAGAUUUUCAGAGGGCAGGUGGGGGGAGGCUGGGGACCUUCCUGGGGGUGCACAAAUCUUGUCCUGUCACUGGAGGAUGCACACAGCUCAUGGAGACCACGUCAACCACCGGCCUAAGGAAAGCACCGGGAAAGCAAAGUGUGACGUGGCUUAAGCAGCUUGUCUGAGUUUGCACAGCUGGCAAAUGGCUGAGCCAUGACUCACACCCAGGUCCAUCCACCGCCAAAGCUCCAGAUCUCUGGCAUCCUUCUAAGGUCAGAAAGGGAAAGAAAUCCCUAAUAAGGAGCCUGUGUGACGGUGUGCCCCCCUCCAUUUUCCCACCCCUGCCAAGGACCCGUUUGAAGGCUGUUCACGCCAGUCACUGCAAUCACCAUUGAGCACAGAGAUGACAGUUCCAACAAGCACUGACCUUCCAGCCCACUCUGCGGAGGAGAAGACUGAGGGGCAGAGAGGAUGUUGAUUUGCUGCAGUUGAUUCUGACCCUAAUUUCCCGGCGCUGACUCAAACUCAUCAGGAACACUGCUUUCACUGAGUGUAUGAAGUGGUUUCUCCAUCCGUGUGGCUUUACCUGAACUCACACCGGUCCCACGGCCCAGGUGUGGGGCCGAGCACUCCCCUCUGCCUCCUCCCUGGAUUUCAGGACCUGUGUCUCGCUUUAUGAAAGAGAUGCCAUUUGGGGAAGAGUCGCAUUGUCAGGAGCGCUGUGGACGCUCCGGGCGGAGAUCAACACGAUGAUGAUGAUGCCGGGUGGAGGGAAUGUGCGUUUCUCAGGAGGUAAAUCACACCCUGCGCAGCGCCUAUGGAUUUUUGCUUUUCCUUGGCUGGUAGGAGCCGAGGAGGCUGCCUUCGCUGUGAUAUUUCUGCAAGUUCUCAUCCCCAGUGGGAAGAAUAAUUGUCUGUGUUUGCUGAAAUUAAAGCCAAAACCCAGCCGGUGCAGAUGGGAGGGGGAGGCUGGGAGCAGGUGGGAGCUGGUGUGCGGGAGUGGACUCAGGCCCUGGGGCAGGGGGAAGAAGGGGGACCGUAGCAUUAUUUGGGAAACAGUCUUCUCAGGGCACAUAAGGACGGCAGAGGAUUUUUUUGGGGGAGUGGAUGGAGCUACCAUAGAAUGAGGUCCUGAAAGUCAGCAACAUGGAGGAGCUGGAGGCCACCAUGUUAAGUGAAAUGAGCAAAGCAGAGCAAAUACAGCAUGUUCUCACUCACACAGGGGAGCUAAAAGGUGGAUCUCACAGAGGUAGACAGUAGAUUGUGGGUACCAGAGACCGGGAAGGGGAAGGGAGUGGGGGGAUGAAGACAGGGUGAUUGAUGGGUACAAAUAUACGGUUUGAUAGAAGAAAUAAGUCCUAGUGUUAGAGCA
rnacentral:lncRNA from 1 species